UGUAAAAUUUUAAAGGUCGAACAGACCUAAUAUUAUAGCUUCUACACCAAAAAUUAAUUUUAAUCCAACAUCGAGGUCGCAAUCUUUUUUUUUAAUAUGAACUUUAUAAAAAAAUUACGCUGUUAUCCCUAAGGUAAUUUUAUCUUAUAAUCAAAAAUAUUGGRUCAUUUAUUCAUAAAUUUAUGUUUAAAAAUAAAAAAAAAGUUUAUUAAAUUUUUCAAUCACCCCAAUUAAAUUAUUAAAUAAAAUAUAUAAAUAAAUACUAAAAUAUAAUUUUUAUUUAAUAAUUAAACUCUAUAGGGUCUUCUCGUCUUUUAAAUUCAAUUAAGCUUUUUAACUUAAAA
rnacentral:rRNA from 1 species